UACGGGGGGGGGCAAGCGUUGUUCGGAAUUACUGGGCGUAAAGGGCUCGUAGGCGGCCAACUAAGUCAGACGUGAAAUCCCUCGGCUUAACCGGGGGAACUGCGUCUGAUACUGGAUGGCUUGAAUCCGGGGAGAGGGAUGCGGAAUUCCAGGUGUAGCGGUGAAAUGCGUAGAUAUCUGGAGGAACACCGGUGGCGAAGGCGGCAUCCUGGACCGGCAUUGACGCUGAGGAGCGAAAGCCAGGGGGAGCAAACGGG
rnacentral:rRNA from 1 species